rnacentral:misc_RNA from 1 species
AAAACCAAGAAUACCAACAUUAUUGAAAGUGGAAAAUUUUGGAGCCAAGUGCAAGAGGUACUAAAUGUUAUGGAGCCAUUAAUCCAUGUACUUCGUUUAGUAGAAGAUGAUAGACCUACCUUGGGAUACUUGUAUGAAGCAAUGGAAAAAGCAAAAGAAACAAUUGAGAGACAAUAUAGUAAUGACUGCACAAAGUAUGAGAAGAUAAGGGAUUUAUUUCAAGAAUGGAGAAGUAAAAAGAUUAUCCAUCCAAUACAUGCAGCUGCUGCUUUUCUGAAUCCAUCUUACAUGUGCCGCGACGGCUUUGAACUUAACUCUGAAAUGAAGACAGGCAUAAAAUUUAUUUUCUCAACAAUGGUGGCGAGUCAAGAUAAGGACAAAUUCGUUGAAGAGGUGAAACUUUAUGAACAAAAGAUGCCACUGAUGUUCAAUACAUUGGCAUACGACUUGCUGCAAGUGUCUCAUCCUUGUGCAUGGUGGGAUGCUACUGGGGUCUGCCUUCCAGUGCUAAAGAAGUAUGCGAUACGACUUUUGAGCCAGCCUUGUAAGUGUUCAUGUGACCUAAAGCCUAGUGCAUUUGAAGUUGCACGAAGAAAGAUGAUGAAUGGGGCAAUAAAGACUGCAUCACAUGACAAUUUUGUAUACACAAUAAUGAAUGCUAAGAUCAUGGAAAUAUUUCGACCUUGGGAAGAGCAAUGCUUGACACCAAUUGAUCUAGAAAAUUGCAAUGAACUCCCUGAUUACAUUGAUCCUCAACAAAGUUGGUGGGAUGAUCACAUC